CCUACGGGGGGCAGCAGUGGGGAAUAUUGCACAAUGGGGGGAACCCUGAUGCAGCGACGCCGCGUGAGUGAAGAAGUAUUUCGGUAUGUAAAGCUCUAUCAGCAGGGAAGAAAAUGACGGUACCUGACUAAGAAGCCCCGGCUAACUACGUGCCAGCAGCCGCGGUAAUACGUAGGGGGCAAGCGUGAUCCGGAUUUACUGGGUGUAAAGGGAGCGUAGACGGCCAGACAAGUCAGAAGUGAAAGCCCAGGGCUCAACCCUGGGACUGCUUUGGAAACUGCCGGGCUGGAGUGCAGGAGAGGUAAGCGGAAUUCCUAGUGUAGCGGUGAAAUGCGUAGAUAUUAGGAGGAACACCAGUUGCGAAGGCGGUCUGCUGGACAGCAACUGACGGUGAGGCGCGAAAGCGUGGGGAGCAAACAGGAUUAGAUACCCGGGUAGUC
rnacentral:rRNA from 1 species